rnacentral:rRNA from 1 species
UACGAAGGGAGCUAGCGUUGUUCGGAAUCACUGGGCGUAAAGCGCACGUAGGCGGAUCGUUUAGUCAGGGGUGAAAUCCCGGAGCUCAACUUCGGAACUGCCUUUGAUACUGGCGAUCUCGAGUCCGAUAGAGGUGGGUGGAAUUCCUAGUGUAGAGGUGAAAUUCGUAGAUAUUAGGAAGAACACCAGUGGCGAAGGCGGCUCACUGGCCCGGUACUGACGCUGAUGUGCGAAAGCGUGGGGAGCAAACAGG